AGUGAGUAGUGCAAGGCUGUGCACGUCCUGUUAGCAAGAGGAGGCAUCUCUGGCCACAGUGGGCUUCUCCAGACCAGCAUUCGGGACCUGCUUUGCUCUCCUCCGCUUGCUCGAGCUUCUCUUCGGGCUCUCGUCGAUUUCUUCCACCUGCUCUUCAAAGUUGCAGGACUCAGGCUCAGUACAGCACUUCGGUGUGCAUGACGGAAUGGUAAAACGCUCUGGCCAGAGGGAAAGAACACAACCACCAGGAAGCUGAGAUCGUAUGAGAGGCUCGGAGCAUGAGAAAUAGGAGGUGUGUGUGUUGCUAUGAAUUUAUUUGGGCAUUUGUGACAA
rnacentral:lncRNA from 1 species